AUUUUAUUAAAUGGUCAUUUAAGACCCCUUUUCUUCUAUUUCCUUUCCCCAAACGUAGCCCCCAUUUUAGAUCAAAAGAAAUUCCAGCCAUUAAAAUCAAAUUUUUUAGGGUUUCCUUCACUUGACUGCCAAACCACCAUGAUUUUAGGUGAUUACCAGUAAGCGAGAUGUGCCCAAUCUUGCCGUUAAAGUAGCUUGACCAGAUCUAAAAGGAUUUGGCUCGGUUGUACAAUGGAGCGAGAGAUGUCUGAAGGAGGCCAUGUGAGGAACCACUCGUGGGAGCCCUAGCUCUGGCCUAUUCUGCACGUUCCAAGCUUCCAGUCUUCUUGAGAUUUUUUGGGUGUUUGGGCCUUUGGGUUAGGGAUCUUGCUUUGGGCUUUUAUUUUUGUAAAAAACUUGGACUUUUUAAUUAAUUGAUUUUGCUUUAAUUUUUAGAUAACAUUAUGGGCCCGGGUGAAAUGGGCCUAUUACAGCAUGCAUACAAACAAACAACAGAAUACAGAUAUUUCGGCCUUAGCCAUACAGA